rnacentral:rRNA from 1 species
UGGGGAAUAUUGCACAAUGGGCGCAAGCCCGAUGCAGCCAUGCCGCGUGUGUGAAGAAGGCCUUCGGGUUGUAAAUCACUUUUAGCGGGGAGGAAGGCGUUAAGGUUAAUAACCUUGGCGAUUGACGUUACCCGCAGAAGAAGCACCGGCUAACUCCGUGCCAGCUGCCGCGGUAAUACGGAGGGUGCAAGCGUUAAUCGGAAUUACUGGGCGUAAAGCGCACGCAGGCGGUCUGUCAAGUCGGAUGUGAAAUCCCCGGGCUCAACCUAGGAGCUGCAUUCGAAACUGGCAGGCUAGAGUCUUGUAGAGGGGGGUAGAAUUCCAGGUGUAGCGGUGAAAUGCGUAAAGAUCUGGAGGAAUACCGGUGGCGAAGGCGGCCCCCUAGACAAAGACUGACGCUCAGGUGCGAAAGCGUGGGGAGCAAACAGG